rnacentral:rRNA from 1 species
CCCAUGGCAUGACUAGUACGGCGAGUGAGCGGCAACAGCUCAAAUUUGAAAGCUGGCCUUCGGGUCCGCAUUGUAAUUUGUAGAGGAUGCUUUGGGUGAAACGCCAGUCUAAGUUCCUUGGAACAGGACGUCAUAGAGGGUGAGAAUCCCGUAUGUGACUGGAAAUGUUAACCUAUGUAAAGCUCCUUCGACGAGUCGAGUUGUUUGGGAAUGCAGCUCUAAAUGGGAGGUAAAUUUCUUCUAAAGCUAAAUAUUGGCGAGAGACCGAUAGCGCACAAGUAGAGUGAUCGAAAGAUGAAAAGCACUUUGGAAAGAGAGUUAAAAAGCACGUGAAAUUGUUGAAAGGGAAGCGCUUGCAAUCAGACUUGUUUAAACUGUUCGGCCGGUCUUCUGACCGGUUUACUCAGUUUGGACAGGCCAGCAUCAGUUUCGGCGGCCGGAUAAAGGCUCUGGGAAUGUGGCCUUCACUUCGGUGAAGGUGUUAUAGCCCAGGGUGUAAUACGGCCAGCCGGGACUGAGGUCCGCGCUUCGGCUAGGAUGCUGGCGUAAUGGUUGUAAGCGACCCGUCUUG